rnacentral:sRNA from 1 species
AUCGUUGCCAGGCCUUUGGGCACGCAUCC